AGCGCGAUCGCGACGACGGUGUUGUGCACUGGCGAGCAGAGGAGACAUAGCGUGCCACCUUGUGUGAGGGCGGCGCCGAAGAUUGCCCGACAGUGACUGAAGAAAAGAAGCAAACAUGCAAACGAUAAAAAAAAAGAAGCAUGCACGCAUUCCACAAAGCAAACGCGGUAGAGUCCGUUUAGCGAGCACACACACGAAAAAACAAACGAAGAAAUACCGUUUAAGACGAAAAAACCACGUCAGGUCUUGAGUACAGGAGUCAUCCUUUCCUUGCGUCGUUAGGCUAUUGCUUUGAAGUGCAGACAAUAGUCAUUGACUUGUCCUCUGCCCUUUCUUCCUUUCAUUCAUGCUCUUCGGUUCUCUUUUCGUUCCGUUUGUUUUCUUCGUUUUCGUUUUUCUCUUGUGUUGCUGUGCUCCCUUUUCUUUUGAAAUACUUUGAUCACGCCGCGUGCCAAGAAAUAAGAAAGACAAGGUAACGUCCUGCCUCACUCUUUCGCCAGGAAGCCACGCGAAAAAGAGUCCAGACAAAACGAUGAGAUCUGCACUCAUUUUGCUUCCUGCUCUUCUUCCUCAAAGAGGGCAACGGAACAGAAAAAAAAACGGUCAAUAACGAAGAGUUUCUUUUUCGCAGUGAACGAAAAAGAAACGAGAGAAAAAAAGAUGCAUCACGAGAAAUCGUUUGUUAUCUGUUUUACCUUUUCUUUUUCGCAGUUCUGUACGCCAUUCCGUUGUGUUUGUUGUUGCCUUUGCAGUAACCGCAGAGCUUCUCUUGUUUUGUCUUUCCAUUGAUAUGCAUAUAUAUAUAUAGUCGCCUCGUCUAACGUGAGAGAUGGAGGUCCUUGAACGAAAAGAAACGUAGCAACACGCACACCCCUUGUACUUUGUCGUCGUGGAGAGGUCAUGAGUACUCAAACCCUUCUCUCACUCAGGGCGAGAGGGUGGUGAUGAUGAUAGUGAGUGGAAGGGCGCCCCACUGGCCGCUUGCCGGAAGGCUUCCUUUCGUCAUCCUUAACGACCCUCAUGCAGCAAAGACGCUGCGAAAGGCGAGCAGGGUGAAACAACAUAUUGCCGUGUUCACGCGAGGCGAGUACGGCGACGUGACCUUUUCGCUUGUGGACGUGUCGAGAGCUUGAAAGAUCACCGACACGUGCACAUGACAUGCUCAGUUGGGCUUCGUGUUUCUCAGCUUGGAGCACCACCCCGCUAACGCAGCCGGCCCUCUUUCCUGCCUCGCGUCGGCGCACAAAUUCUUUUGCACGCCCUCCCUAUUCUGUUUGCUUUCUCGCGCUGCUUCCUCGCUCCUCCUCGUGAAUCGCUCGCUCGCUCACUGACGAUGAAAG
rnacentral:misc_RNA from 1 species